rnacentral:lncRNA from 1 species
GGUCCAGUGCCUUCUUCAUCAUGUGCUCACAGUGCUCACCGAUCUUCUGAUGUAGCUUCCACCCCCUCCCCAGCUCUCCGGCAGACGCAAACCACCCUCAGAACUCCACCCGGGACAUCACCCAGAAGGUCAUGGGCUGUCAAUCUCUAGGGGGCAUCAGAAAAACUACAGAAAUGGAAUAAAAAUCUCUCAUCAGGACCUUGGCCUAGGACUCCGUGGCCUUUCUGAUCUUCUAGAUGACAUGGGUUCAAGGCUUGCUUUGGAGACAAAUCACUGAGGUCCAUGGCAGGUAUAGAGUGGAGUUCAAAUCUGCUCUUUGAGAAGAGAAGCCCAGAAGAGAGUGGAUUCUUGAAGCCCCAUGGAGGGCUAGCUACAUUUUACCUGGAGACAAGAUAAUCUGAGGGGCGAAGCCAGUGAUGCAGAGCACCAAGACUCAGAAGAUGAAUAUUGUGCCUGCUUUGGCGAGACAUGGUUCAGACUCAGAAGGAGUAUGUAACGAUAAUAAAGAGAAGAUAUGAUGAUA